GAGGUGACUCGCUGUCGGAAGCCAGGAGGUGCGUGAAGACCACUGGCCGGUCUUCACAGCGCAGGAAGUUACGCUCUCUGCCGCAAAGCGAGAGGAAGGGGAAGGAAGCCUCGUAGCGCCCGCUGUGGUUGGGUCUCAGACGGGAGAAGAAAGUGACCAGGAACUGCAGGUCUGUGGGAACAAAAGGCACGAUCAUGCUCGGUGACCCAGCUUCCCCGACACGCUCCUUUUCCUGGGAAUACCAGCACUGGCACGAGACAGCGGCCCCCCCUCGUGGAUGGUGCCUUCCCUCAGAGUCGGGGAGCCGAGGCCCUGAAGGGUAGAGAGAGACACGAGGGAGCAGUGCAGUAAGCAAUACCUUUGAAGCAGGUGAUAAAGUUCUUCAUUUUGGAGUCAUCUAGGAAAAGCUGCAGAAGGGACACAGUGGACAGUAAGUCCUGGCAAGAAAGCCGGUGGUGUUCGCUGUCCUUGCUUUUCUGUCUAAUGUGUUCAGGGGGGCAUGUGGAAGGGCCCUGCGGACUCUCCCCACAUCUACAGACAGGUUUCCAGGGUUGCAGCCCUCACCCCUUUUUCUACAGCAGGUUUGACAGCCGCUUGUCCCUAGCAAUCGCGAGCAAGCACUCGGCUCUGGGACUGCUGCUAGGACAGGCUAGUGUGCGCGGGAUUACGAUGCGGUGAAAGCGGAAGGCCCCGGAAUUAACUCUUCCAGCCUGGGCUUUGAAAGGUUCAAAGCCACGCGUAGCACCUAUCCCAGGUCUCGCCUCUAGAACUACUCCCCACCCGGUGCCGAUGGAUUCCGCAGUCCCCUCAGGUCUCCUCCCUCUGUCACACGCCAGGCACACCUGGCCUUGGUGAUCCACAUAGUAGAAAUACUCGCGGGUUCUGGGCUCCGGGCUUUGACCCUGUGUGUAGGAGACACGCUCGACCCCACUGCAGGUCCGAGCUCUCUGCGACCUCGCCAAGACUAGAGCCAAGUUACGCACUGCCCCACUAGGCGGCCACAUUCUUCCACACCGGAAGCGGAUCACACAGUGUUGUGCCUGGGGCUUUGGGUUCCGCCGGCAACACGUGCUCGGAGGGGCGGAGCUGUCUAUCCCGCCCCCGGAAGUAGCUGCCAGACGUGGACUCCCCCGCCCCCUUGUCAGAAGUAACCUGAAAGAAACACAAUCAGCGAGUGUGCACUUGAACUUUAUUCACACGGAGCACUGUCCCCUCGAGCCACACGUACGAGGGAGCGCCUGCGGCCGAGAGGCCCUGGAGAGAGAGGCCAGGACCUCCGCAUGACGGGACUUUUGUUUUUAAUAAAUAAAAACUCUAAAAAUAUAUAUAUAUAAACAGGAGAAAUGAAGUUUGACAACUGUUGGAACUCAGAUUCCAGAAUGGAAAACGCAAACGAGUCCAGGCAGGUCUCAUCCACGCGCCGCCCGUGUGUGGAGUUUGGUCAGAGGCCGCGAGGUCAAAGGAGGGUGGUGCUAACUUGCUCAGCGCGAGGACCGCAAUGGCAGUUCAAGAGCUAAAUAGCAUCUGGUUAAAAC
rnacentral:lncRNA from 1 species